rnacentral:lncRNA from 1 species
CCCUUUCUUUCACUGUUCUCUUCAGGAAAUGCGAAUAUAGCUGGGACUAGUCGGGGAAUGGAGUGAUGGCCCGAGAUGGUGUCAUAGUAGUCCUCACUAUUCUGUGAAAUAGUGUGAUAAUAAUUGUAAUAAGAUUGAAUUUGAGUGUGGAUAUUGUCUAGAUGACAAUAUUUGUAUUAAAACUCACAGCAUAUGUUUUGUCGUAUUUUACACGACAGUUGUAUAAUUA